UAGAGCUUGAUCAUGGCUCAGAUUGAACGCUGGCGGCAGGCCUAACACAUGCAAGUCGAGCGGUAGAGAGAAGCUUGCUUCUCUUGAGAGCGGCGGACGGGUGAGUAAUGCCUAGGAAUCUGCCUGGUAGUGGGGGAUAACGUUCGGAAACGGACGCUAAUACCGCAUACGUCCUACGGGAGAAAGCAGGGGACCUUCGGGCCUUGCGCUAUCAGAUGAGCCUAGGUCGGAUUAGCUAGUUGGUGGGGUAAUGGCUCACCAAGGCGACGAUCCGUAACUGGUCUGAGAGGAUGAUCAGUCACACUGGAACUGAGACACGGUCCAGACUCCUACGGGAGGCAGCAGUGGGGAAUAUUGGACAAUGGGCGAAAGCCUGAUCCAGCCAUGCCGCGUGUGUGAAGAAGGUCUUCGGAUUGUAAAGCACUUUAAGUUGGGAGGAAGGGUUGUAGAUUAAUACUCUGCAAUUUGACGUACCGACAG
rnacentral:rRNA from 1 species